UAUGGUUAAAAGGACAGCUGACCUGCAGAUUUCUCCUCCCACGUCUCAAAGAAAGAGAACCAAGAGGUCAUAGAGUUCGUGUAAACAUGUGUUUAUCUGAUUUGCAACAAGACAUCCACAUGUCCACGGCUCCUCUGGUUCACUAAUUUGGGCAGGAUGGAUAUCAAUUUCUUUCCAAAUGUUCUGAUUUUAGUGACUGAAAUGGUGGUUCCACUCUCCCCCGACCACCCUAAAUCUGGCGCCAGGUAUUGAAACUGAGUCUCUGCCAACACAAGGCCAGGCUUUUUCACGGCCCUAUGCUGCGUUACAGCCAGUGAGUCCUCAGUUUCUCCAGCAGUCCCAGGACGCUGUCUCUCUGAGCACCGCAGCAAGGACUUGACUUGAGGUGAGGGCCUACCACACAGUCAGUGCAACAGACUGCAUGGGAAACCCAGCUGGAAUCCAACAGGGGCUGGGAUGAGUAGCAUAUUCGAAUGUUUCCAGAAUGGGAGAGACUAGUAUUGGAGGGUCACAUGUGUUCGAGCCAUCGUUUAACAUGAACAACAGACAAUUUCCCGAGUUCUUCAGUGAGUCAGUUCACUGAGUGGAAUUGUACCGGGCGUGUUGGCUUCCCUCUUAUCUCCCUGUGUGACGUGUUCUUUGUGAUUCUUCAGGCCCUCCAAGGCCUUGCUACACUUUGGAGCCUUCAAAGCUGUGUGGUUUGUGUAACACGGCAAUGGUAUCAGUGCUGUUAUCAUGACGGGCUUUAGACCCCAUAGGUAUGGAAGGUACCUUGGCCAUUGCCAUGGUGUAUUAUAGUUCACGUGGUUGCUGGGACCCGACAAGUCUCAGCUAGGAUUCUUCCUAUUCACAAAGAAAGCCUCACUUGUCGGGGAAAGAUAAUGAAGGAACACUGCCUCUGCUUCAAGGAGCCAGGAAUCUUCCAGAAGGGUCUGCCUUCUCCUUCGUUCCACUGAUGAGGAAGGCCCAAGUUUAACCCUCCCUCCAAUGGAUAAACACGGGAGAGGCCGAGCUGGCUUCCCGCCGCCUGUGGAGUCUGGCCAGGCCCGGCCUCUUCUCCUCACCUCACCCCACUCUCCUCGGUGUAUCACUUUCUUCCACCCUAUCCUUAGCUCCUGCCACCUAGAAAUUUUUCUUCAGAUGGGAGGACUGGCAAUCAGCCCCCCCUCACUUGUGUGAUCAAAUAUCUCACCCUGAAGACACAUGCUCAGUCUCCCUGGCCUCCGCUCAGGCCUCCCAGUUUCUGGCCAGCCACCGGCCCAGCGCCCACUAGCCUGUCAGGAGAACGGAACAAGACUUUCCCUGUGCACAGAAUUUCUUGGAGGAGAAACAGCAGGUGCCCCCAAGGUUGGCCCUUGGGUCACACACACUGAGAAACUGUCUGUGAAAAAAAAAAGGCAAAA